rnacentral:rRNA from 1 species
UCAGGAUGAACGCUGGCGGCGUGCCUAACACAUGCAAGUCGACGAAGCACUUAGACAGAACCUACGGGUGACGUAUUGGUGACUGAGUGGCGGACGGGUGAGUAACGCGUGGGUAACCUGCCCUGUACAGGGGGAUAACAGUUAGAAAUGACUGCUAAUACCGCAGUAAGCGCACGAUGGUAGCAUUACCAGGUGUGAAAAAACUCCGGUGGUACAGGAUGGGCCCGCGUCUGAUUAGCUAGUUGGCGGGGUAAGAGCCCACCAAGGCGACGAUCAGUAGCCGGUCUGAGAGGAUGAACGGCCACAUUGGAACUGAGACACGGUCCAAACUCCUACGGGAGGCAGCAGUGGGGAAUAUUGCACAAUGGGGGGAACCCUGAUGCAGCAAACCGCCGCGUGAGUGACGAAGUAUUUCGGUAUGUAAAGCUCUAUCAGCAGGGAAGAUAAUGACGGUACCUGACUAAGAAGCUCCGGCUAAAUACGUGCCAGCCGCUGC